rnacentral:misc_RNA from 1 species
GUUUUAAAUUAUGUUUUUAUCAGACACGUUGCUGUGUUGGAGUGUUGUUGUUUGAUGGUCGACUGCACGAAUGCAAUCGGCACUGGUUUAGAAUCCAAAAAUGAUCCUUCCGCAGGUUCACCUACGGAAA